rnacentral:rRNA from 1 species
CCUACGGGUGGCAGCAGUGAGGAAUAUUGGUCAAUGGACGAGAGUCUGAACCAGCCAAGUAGCGUGAAGGAUGACUGCCCUAUGGGUUGUAAACUUCUUUUAUAUGGGAAUAAAAUGUUCCACGUGUGGGAUUUUGUAUGUAACAUAUGAAUAAGGAUCGGCUAACUCCGUGACAGCAGCCGCGGUAAUACGGAGGAUCCGAGCGUUAUCCGGAUUUAUUGGGUGUAAAGGGAGCGUAGGUGGAUUGUUAAGUCAGUUGUGAAAGUUUGCGGCUCAACCGGAAAAUUGCAGUUGAAACUGGCAGUCUAGAGUACAGUAGAGGUGGGCGGAAUUCGUGGUGUAGCGGUGAAAUGCGUAGAUAUCGCGAAGAACACCGAUUGCGAAGGCAGCUCACUGGACUGCAACUGACACUGAGGCUCGAAAGUGUGGGUAUCAAACAGGAUUAGAUACCCUUGUAGUC